rnacentral:rRNA from 1 species
AAAACAGAAUUGAACGCUGGCGGCAGGCCUAACACAUGCAAGUCGAGCGGUAGAGAGAAGCUUGCUUCUCUUGAGAGCGGCGGACGGGUGAGUAAUGCCUAGGAAUCUGCCUGGUAGUGGGGGAUAACGUUCGGAAACGGACGCUAAUACCGCAUACGUCCUACGGGAGAAAGCAGGGGACCUUCGGGCCUUGCGCUAUCAGAUGAGCCUAGGUCGGAUUAGCUAGUUGGUGAGGUAAUGGCUCACCAAGGCGACGAUCCGUAACUGGUCUGAGAGGAUGAUCAGUCACACUGGAACUGAGACACGGUCCAGACUCCUACGGGAGGCAGCAGUGGGGAAUAUUGGACAAUGGGCGAAAGCCUGAUCCAGCCAUGCCGCGUGUGUGAAGAAGGUCUUCGGAUUGUAAAGCACUUUAAGUUGGGAGGAAGGGCAGUUACCUAAUACGUGAUUGUUUUGACGUUACCGACAGAAUAAGCACCGGCUAACUCUGUGCCAG